UCAAAGAAGUUUCUUCUAGAUCUACGGAACGAAUCAUGGGUAAUAUUUAGGGGAAUCCCCAACUUAAUGAAGGUUUUUCUAUCUCACCUACUGAAGAGCUCGCUAUCCUAGCAAGGAUAGGUAGCACAAGUUAAGACAGGGAUAGGAUCGUUUCGAGAAUGGGGCUUAUCCUAACGGUAGGAUGUCCUAACUCCUGUCUUAACUACUUAGGAUCUGUCUUAGCUGGGACACUUUCGAGAAUAGGGGCCCUGAUCAUUUACUCCAAUUCAUAAGCUUUCUAAAUGAUUGACAAUCUUUCCAAAUGGAUCACAAUUACCACUGUCAGGGCGGCCAAUAUGGCAAUGAAGACAAAUUUUUAUGGAACUUGACAUCUAACUAAAACAUAAAUCUUUCAUUUUGAUUGGACAAUCAGUUUUGCUCUGGGUUUACCUAUAUGGAUAGUUUGUCAGAUCUUGAUAAGGAGGGGUAUCAAAUCCCGAUGACUAGGGGAAUCAAAUCCUGAUAACUAGAGGUAUCAAAUCCCGAUGAAGAGGGUAUCCAAUCCAGAUAAGGAGUUGUAUCAAAUCAUGAUAACUUGGGGUAUUGAAUCAUGAUGAAGAGGGUAUAAAAUCCUGAUGAGGAGGGGUAUCAAAUCCUAAUCAAAAGGGGUAUCUGAUCAAAUCAAAUCAGAUUAACGACCUGAUGUGAAUGAACUUGUUCCUCCAGAUAGCACUGAAGACAGUCGAGUCCCACCACUAUGGCCAGUAUCAGAGCAAUCCAUUUAAACUGCCAUAUAAGUCAUUCUGUCAAUGUUGCCUAAGUUUAUCCCUGUGAAAUAUACCUGUAUGGAUUAUAUGGACAGGUAGACACUAUCUGGUUAGUCACAGCACUUUCUUUACUAGUGGUUCAGUAACACAGCCAGGUUUUAGGAAAAACAGUUAGUCCAGAUAUUGUCAGGUCUUGGACUGACAAGCUAGUGCUUGUAAUGCCAUAAAAUUCAUAUGUAAUUAUUGUGAAAUGAAUGUAAUCGUACAGAAAUAAAAUCAUUCUAGACCCAAUUCAGAGGUUGUAUUUUCAGACAGGAUAUCAUUGAUGGUCGGUCCAACAAGGAAAUAUCUUGUUAUAUCUGAUCACUUGAUCUUGCUCAUAAAUCCAGUAUUCUCAACGAGUCCUCUUAUUUGAAAUAUCUUCCAGCUCGUGUUGAAACUAGGAUACAUGUAAUGUCAUUUCAAUUAUGGCUGUGUAUUGGCUGAACAAUUGUGGCGAGGUAUUGGGUGCUAACGUGUUUGACACUCAUUGACACUUACUGUACAUGCAGAUCCUAUUUCAAUAUACUAAAGUAAAUAUUCCUUAGCAUGGUCAGACGUUCCCAUUUUGUAGUCAUGGAUACAGGGGAGAUAACAAUGUGAGAGAACAGUCACUUCAGUGUUUCCUGUCAUUUUUAAGGGAAACUUUGUGAAUAUUUUGUGUAGAUUUUAGGUUAGAUAAUAUAAAUGUUAACAAACUUGUGCAUGUAUUUUUAUACUGUUUUUCCAAUAUAUAUACAGAAAACAAAAAUAUUACAAAACUGGCUAGAAAGAAAACGUGAAGUAUUGGUAACUGGGCAGAUCCUUGUUUCUCACUUUUGACACUAAGUGGGAAACAGCUGAUGUUUGUCUACGUUGACUGUAACUAGAGGUGACGAGAGUUGCGGAUUGUUAACUGGCGAUUGUUCGCUGCAAUUAGAAUUUAUGGAUAUUGGUCAUAUGGACAAGGUGCCAUACUCAGAUCAAAAUUCCUGGUUCAAAUCCCACCAUGACAAACAGAUGAUUACCUUUAUCCAGAUGAUACAGUUAAUAUUGCUAAUGAUGAUUUGUUUUAAAUUACUGUUUCAGUCUGAAUUAUCUCAAAUUACAAAACUUGAGGGUUUCAGAGUAUGUACCACCCCUACCUAUCUGAAGUGUGAUAAACUUAUGUGAGGUGCUUCAAGAGCUCUGUGUGACUGAAAGAGGUGCUUCAGGAGCUAUGUGUGACUGAAAGAGGUGCUUCAAGAGCUGUGUUAUGCUGAGAGAGGUGCUUCAAGAGGUGUGAGAUAGAUGUUCUUCAGUAACUGUAUGACUGAAGAAGGUGCUUAAAGAGCUGUAUGUGAAUAAAGGGGUGCUUUGAGAGCUGUUAUGAUGAGAGAGGUGCUUCAAGAGGAGUGUGAAUGAUAGCAAGUCUCAUGACAUUCCUUUCAUGUGGUCUCAUACAGCAUUUGAAAUAACUGCCGGCAUGCUGUCCCGUGGCUAGUAGUUUUCUGUUGGGGCCAGUCAUCUUUCGAACCCAGUAUCCCACCUGUACAGUGACAGGGUGAUGUGAUAAAGCUGGAAAAUUGAUGUUGAGUGGGCAUGAACAUUAAGGUCAGUGCUAGGUGUUAACAAGGUCAGAUUUUAUGACAUUUUCUAUCAGUUUCCUUUAGUCACGUGUUUGAAUCCCAUAUUUAGUAGAAUUUUAUGGUUUGCCUGCACCAUAUUUAAGGUGUGAGUUUCACCACUGACGUCCAGUUGUACAGCUCAUCAGUUUGAACUUUCUCCCAAUGCAUACUGAAUAUAAAGCGGUUUUAAACCCAGUUCACUCACUCACUGACAUCUGAACUCACCAGGGAUCAUCUCUCAUCUUUCAUGUAAAGAAUAAACCCAUCACAGUCACUGAAGAGCUGUCGCCAUGGGCUAUACAGUCUUUUUGCCAUGGCCUUUCAUUACAGAAAUACUGUUCAAAGUGGCAUUAAACCCAACUCCCUCACUCACUCAGACAACAAGUCUUCCCAAUCUGAUUUUCAAAUUUACGAUCACAUUCGUAGUUGGGUUUUUUGUGACAGUGCGUGUUUGUUAAUACUUGUGCGUGAAAAGAGCUAACCAUUCCUGUUGUUGUGGUUGCUGGUUGCCAAAAUUCGGACAAUUUGCAGGUGAAAAAAAAUCCAAGCACUGAUGAUAUUCUGAUAUGGUAGGAAGUCGCGGAGUUAAAAAUUGUUUAAUACCAUGGUAACAGGCGUUUUUGUGAUGGGUUUCUCUGACAACUCGGCAUGUUGCUUUAAUGCAUACAUUCAACAUUGACAUUAAGACAUAAAUGAAAAGAUGAGUAUACACCUAUAGAAAGUAACAUGGUCCUAUAUGGGGAUAUAUAAUUGGGUGAACACUUCCCCAAAAUAUCCAUGGUCCAAAACCUUUGCUUUUUGUUAUUAAUGUAUAUAAAAUAGGUCUAGGUUUGAUAACCCAUGUGGGUAAAGCAUAUGAAGCCUAUUUCUUGGGGGCGGUGGGGUAGCCUAGUGGUUGAAGUGUUCGCACGUCGUGCUGAAGACCUGAGUUCGAUUCCCAACAUGGGCACAAUGUGUGAUGCCCAUGCCUGGUGCCCCUCGCCAUGAUAUUAUGGAAUAUUGCUAAAAGCGGCGUAAAACCCAACUAACUAUUUCUCAUGUAAUUAUCACAAUAUUGCUAAUACAAGCUUAAAACCAUACCUACGCACUUUUAAUGGUAUUUAUUUAAUUCCUGAUAAAUUUAUUUGUUUUGUGUAUUACGUGUCAUAAUGAAAUAAGGAAAACAACUUGACAAUUUUGUUACACCUCUGUGACAUUAGUGAUUAAGACUCUCUUCUCAUCAAUACGGUUUCACUUUGGAAGGUAUUUUUUAAUUUCUGACAAAAUCAAGUAUUUUUGUCUAAAAGGUUUAUAUUGAAAUAAAGAAACCAGCACCUAUGGCCUUAUGGUGGUAAUGAUUGGACCGCUUUGCUAAUAUGCUGUUAUUCAGCACUACCCAAUAGUGGUACAGUUUUCAUGAGAGGUGCAUGGUAUUCUCGUGGGUAUCAGUCUCACCUUAGACAUACAGAUGUUAUCUGAAUGAGCUCAGUGUAUUUGAUAUACUUCCAAACUAUGUUUAAGUUAAAGAAAUAUAAAAUAUGGUUUACUGAUUUACAAUAUGUAAGGAUUCAUUCUCUGUUGAAAGUGGACCGGCUUACAUUCAUGAUAUAUAUACUUUACAUAGGGAUUUUAUCUUUCCAUGAUAUACAAAACUGAGAGGGCAAGUGUAAAUUUAUGUACAAUAUAUAGUUAAUGAUGAAUAUGCCAUAAACAGACAAAAAAUAAAAAUAAACAAAACUGGCCGUGCUAUUGCUGGAAUAUUGCUAAAAGUGGCGUAUAACUAAACUCACUGUGUUUACUGGGCCUUGUUUUACAAGAAGUCGUGGCACAUAGAUGAAUGUAAGUAUGUGAUCAAUUAUCGCAGUCUUAAGUCUCCCCCAAACUGUUCAUUGUUUAUAACAUUUUUGGUUCAGCGGAGAACAAAGAUAUAACACACUGGAUAAUUGAGGUUGUUUGAAGUCAUAAAAAAUCAAAUCUUGACUGUUAAUACCUUCUGAGAACUGAUGUGUUGGUGCAUCUUUCACAUUGCAAAAUAUCAAGUCAGGUGUGAUGGCAGCUGUUUCUCUGUUUUAUGUGAAAGUCAUCAUUGCAGAACCCAUCGUAAUUGUUUGUAAAUGUGUGGAGCUUUGUGAGUAUGUACGUUGGCAGCAAGGCAGCCGUAAUGUCGUUGGAACAAGUUAGUUAUUUCACAUGAGUUUAUGUUUGGGCAAAUGCUUGGAUGAUCCAAGUGAAUGUUUGUGUUUGACUAUCACAGUGUCCAUUUUGAUCAAAAGCUGUGUUGAAUUAAAACAUGUUGACAAUGAAAUUGUCAGUUUUACAAGUGAAUAAAUCUAAAAGUAAAA
rnacentral:lncRNA from 1 species